UCCAUCAUUUAGGAUCGUCGGAUCAGUAUCUAACGCACACAAGUCAGUCUGCUGCUCAUUUGCACAUAACCCCUCAACUACAUCUUUCUUGUUCAGGCUUCUCUCUCCCAACUCCUGGAACCAUCUGGAAACAAAUCGAAUCACCGAUGGACAUCACUUAAAUCGAUCUGGCAGCGGCGCGAGGCGGCGGCUGCUGGCGCCAUCCACCUCCUGCGCCUCUCAUGCUUCUCAGCCCCACGGCCCACCACCAUGACGCACCUCCACCUCAACGUCCUCUCUACCCCUUUCCCGUCUCCUCCAACGCCGACCUCGGCAAGCACGCCGUCGAAGUCGUCCAUCUGCGGACGCCUCUCCUGCGUUCUCCUCUAACACCGCAGUUAGCACUCCCAUCACCGCCACCUCCCCGUGCUCCUCAUCAUCCCCUCCACUCCUCCCCAUCUCCUUUGUUCCCAGCCACCACAAGUACGCCGCCGGCGCCAUCAGUGCCACAACGCCUCUCCUACCUCCACCCUUUAUUGAUCCAGCAGCCGUACUUCCCACUCCCACCACCUCCACUUCCUCAUCGUCGUCUCCUCCGACACUGACCUCCGCAGCUAUUUCUGAAUUUCAGGGUUGUGGCAGCAAGGGCGAGGUGCAUGAUAGUGACACAAAGAUGGGCGAGCACGGGGAAUGUAGGAACGUGCAAGGUGUUGUGCCGCAGUUACUGCUGCAAGGAUGACUAUGGCGGCAACUGUUUGCACAAUAACUAAUUCAUGGCAUAGGUGAGGAUGAUAUUUUUUUAUUUAUCAGUAGUCAUAUUUGUCAGAUUAAGACCACAUGUAAUCAUUCCAGCACCUCGUAUCAUAAGAACUAGCCUAAAAUGAUUAUGCUUGAUCUUUUAAGCCAGUUGGUAUUUUUUUACAGAAAAUAUUUUUCACCAAGGAAGGUAAUUAUAAUAAGCAUCAACGUCAGCAUGAUUUUUUUAAAGAUAAACUGAAGUAUGUUAAAAUAUAGUCAGGAGAUCCUGAUCUUACUAAGUGCAGAGUUCCCCAAGAAUAUAGUCAGAACAUUAUUUUUUAUGUUUUGCUCAAGUAGCAAGCAGUAGCAGGCAGUAGGUGACUUUGGUUUUCAUCGUGUUACAGUCAAUCCCUGCUUUAUCUAAUGUAAGAAGCAGGUGAAAGUUUGUUCAACUAAGUAGUAAUCCAAUGAUAUAUAUACAGCAAAGGUUUCCUGCCAGGACCAUUGCCUCCAGUUUCUUGAUGUACGUUGACCAUUUAUUUCUAAGAUGUAACAUAUACCAAGGCACCUAUCUGAUACACUGAGAGGGUGUGGUGAGUGGAGUGGAGGUAUGUGGUGCACUGAGAGGGUGAAGCAGAGCCUGAAAGUUUGUCUGAUUUCCUGCGCUUGGGGACGCGCUGCUUUGUAGAAAAGUUGGAUACUAUGAUUUUGUAUAGUGAUGGGAGAUAGUCUUUGAUACUCUACUUUGUGGCGGGGGAGAUAUAUGUCGUGUUACUGCUGUCAUAUUCUUGCGUGUCUAAGCUUAAUAACAAUUGAUUAGAUUGUUAAUUUUUCGCGACGCAACUUCAUGAGGACGCGUUUCUUGUGUCGAGUCAUGUAUGUUUCAUGAGACUAUUGGUUUUAAGAAACAAAAUCAUGUGAUAUUUUCAUUGGUAAUGCAGUGCACAAUAAAGUCCUGAUUUUAAUUUGUACCACUCUAUUUUGUGCAUUAGAUUGGUAAGGUUCACCUCCUGGUUUUUUUACCCUUUCUUCUUUUGUUCCCCAAAAGGACACAUUACUAGGUCCCUUGUUUUUUUAAAAUAAAAAAUGCCUCUUUAUUCAUUCGUAUACAUCAUUAUAAUGUUCCUAAAAGAGAUAGAAUUGAUGGUGGUGGUACUUCAAUCCAACAAGUAGCUUCAUUAAACGUCAGGAAGACGGACCAGUUCAUGGGCAAUAGCAUCCGCCUCUCGAUACUCAUGUUCAAACACCACUUUGGUAAACUCUGAAGACAAGAAAUAACUAUCAUUGGCAACUGCUGCAACACUGCCCGCCAGUGCAAGCUGCUAUUCAUGACUUCGAUGACUUGGCUAUUGUCCGAGCAAAUAAUCAAUCUAUUGUCGAAAGUAGAAAAUUAAGCAGACAAGGAUAGGAAGAGAAACUAGAAAAUUAAGAUGGUUAGUGUCUGUCUCAGUUGUCACAUGUAUGUGGACGGAUUUUCUUAUUGUUGCAUGAUCUCUGUCACCACCUCGAUAUACGAUAGAGCGAGCAAUGAGAUGAGCAUGGAGAACAAAUCCUCCCGUGAGGCAAAGAUGAAGAAGAAAAUGUUUCGCUUGGACGAAGAGGUUUAUCGAUUGGAAACCAUAUGUUUGACUGUGCUUGAUGUGUACCUAUCAAUAAUAUAUUGUCACUUUGAUUA